GUGGGGAAUAUUGGGCAAUGGGGGCAACCCUGACCCAGCGACGCCGCGUGGGUGAAGAAAUCCCUCGGGAUGUAAAGCCCUGUUGUAUGGGAAGAGCAGAAGACGGUACCAUACGAGGCAGCCCCGGCAAACUACGUGCCAGCAGCCGCGGUAAUACGCAGGGGGCAAGCGUUGUCCGGAAUUACUGGGCGUAAAGCGCACGCAGGCUGACUUCUAAGCCGGAAGUCAAAUACGGAGGCUCAACUUCCGGAUAUCUAUCGAUACUGUAAAUCUAGAGUAUGGGAGAGGGAAGCGGAAGUCGCGGUGUAGGGGUGAAAUGCGUAGAGAUCGGGAGGAACACCGGUGGCGAAGGCGGCUUCCUGGCAGAAUACUGGCGCUCAUGUGCGAAAGCUAGGGCAGCGAACGGGAUUAGAAACCCUUGUAGUCC
rnacentral:rRNA from 1 species